CUACGGGUCGCAGCAGUGGGGAAUUUUGCGCAAUGGACGAAAGUCUGACGCAGCAACGCCGCGUGGGUGAUGAAGGUCUUCGGAUCGUAAAACCCUGUCGUCAGGGACGAAGGACUGAGUGUGAAUAGCAUUGAGUCUUGACGGUACCUGGAGAGGAAGCCCCGGCUAACUCUGUGCCAGCAGCCGCGGUAAUACAGAGGGGGCAAGCGUUAUUCGGAAUUAUUGGGCGUAAAGGGCGCGUAGGCGGUUUUUUAAGUCAGAUGUGUAAUCCCCGGGCUCAACCUGGGAACUGCAUCUGAGACUGGAUGACUAGAGUGCUGGAGAGGGUGGUAGAAUUCCACGUGUAGCGGUGAAAUGCGUAGAGAUGUGGAGGAAUACCAGUGGCGAAGGCGGCCACCUGGACAGUAACUGACGCUGAGGCGCGAAAGUGUGGGUAGCAAACAGGAUUAGAUACCCCAGUAGUC
rnacentral:rRNA from 1 species